GACGAACGCUGGCGGCGUGCCUAAUACAUGCAAGUCGAGCGAAGCGGCGGAUGGGUGCGUAACGCGUGGGUAACCUGCACUUAAGUCUGGGAUACCAUUUGGAAACAGAUGCUAAUACCGGAUACUAAAGGAUGGACCUGCGAUGCAUUAGCUAGUUGGUAAGGUAACGGCUUACCAAGGCGAUGUUGCAUAGCCGGGUUGAGAGACUGAUCGGCCACAUUGGGACUGAGACACGGUCCAAACUCCUACGGGAGGCAGCAGUAGGGAAUAUUCCACAAUGGACGAAAGUCUGAUGGAGCAAUGCCGCGUGUGUGAAGAAGGUUUUCGGGUCGUAAAGUUCUUUCGUCGGUGAAGCAGUAAUCAACCAGAAAGCCCCGGCUAACGACGUGCCAGCAGCCGCGGUAAUUC
rnacentral:rRNA from 1 species